UUCAUAGUCCCUCCGUCCAGAAAUACUUGUCCGAGGAAUGGACGUAUCUAGAUGUAUUUUAAUUCUAAAUACAUUCAUUAUAUCCAUUUUUAUGACAAGUAUUUUCGGACGAAGAGAGUAUAUA
rfam:Triticum aestivum genome assembly, contig: Triticum_aestivum_CS42_TGACv1_scaffold_556203_7AL